rnacentral:lncRNA from 1 species
GGGGCUAAAGCGCCUAGCUAAUCACUAAAGUGGUACCUCACCUACAUGGUUGGUUUCUCGGUCGAUUGGUGCUAAAGAUACUAGUGCUUUAGUGGCUAACUAUCUGCUAAAGCGGCACUUUCUAAUUUGGUCAUAGCUGCUAAAGCACCCUUCACUAAAGUGCCAAAGUACUCUUUAGCGGUCACACCAUAUUCUUGAAUCAGCCGGG